CACUUGAGCCCGGUGGCCUC
rnacentral:piRNA from 1 species